UACAUACAUACGAUUUUAAUAUCUAAUUUUUUUAUUUUUUUUUUUUCAGUUGAUGCCGAUUACAUAUAUGCCUUGAAGUUAUACGAAGCACUCAACCAUACACCUGCACCGUACCAUAUACACGAUAAAAAUAUUUUAAAUAAUAAGACAAUUACAUCUUAUAGUGAAACCCCAAAUAUAAUUAAAGAUCGACAAGACAUAAAUGAUUAUGUUAGACAACCUGAUAACACAUAUGUUGAAUGUCUAUUAAAUGAUACAUUAAAUUAUCCGUAUUCUCUUUCUGACAAUUUAAGGUAUAACACUACUCCUACAGCUAGUCCUAUUGCUGUCAAUAAAAGAGGACAAGGUACACUUGGAAGUAGUGAUUUUGAUUUAUCGAACUAUAGUCAUAUUAUGAGUGAUAUAAAUAGAACUAGUACUGACCAUUUUAAUAAGACUAGGAAUAUUUCAACUAUCAGUAUUAAUAGUAGUGAUAGUGAUAGUGGUAGUGCUAGUGACAAUCGUAAGGAUAAUCGUAAGGAUAAUCGUAAUAGUAUAAACACUCGUAAUAGUAUAAAAACUCGUAAUAAUAUAAACAUUCGUAAUAAUAUAAAAACUCGUAAUAAUAAUAAGAAACAAAUGAAAAUAACAUCCAACAAAUCGAAAACAAAUGUUGAUUCUAAUAAUAAUAUUUUAAGUCCUAGUAUGAAUUUAACAAAUCAUAAUUUGGAUCUUUUUAAAAAUAAUGAGUGUGAAGAAGUGUCUUUGGACGUGCCUGGUCUUGUCCACGCAGGUGUCGAUGCGGAUGCUCAAACAUAUGUUUUUGCGAAUGUCGAAGUGGAUAAUAAUAACCACAAAUCAACAGAUAUAUCAAAAAAUAACCAAAGUUUUAAAGAUUCUAAAAAUAAGGAUAUAAAUUAUUUAUUCGAACAUAACAUUCAUAUAAAUGAUAAUACACUUAUAAGUCCAUGUGUGAGUCCGAAAAGGUACACCAGAAGGAACACUGGAAACACUAAGACUAAUCCUAUGACUAAUUCUAAGACUAAUUCUAAGACUUAUUCUAAGACUAAUUCUAAGACUAAUUCUAAGACUAAUUCUAAGACUAAUUCUAAGACUAAUUCUAAGACUAAUAUUACUAAUGAUAUUACUAAUGAUAUUACUAAUGAUAUUACUAAUGAUAUUACUAAUGAUAUUACUAAUGAUUUUACUAAUGAUAUUACUAAUGAUUUUACGAAUGAUUUUAAAAGAAAUAGCAAAAAGAAACAUGUUAAAAGAGGCAGUGAUUUAGAUAUUCGCAAGAACAAAAGUAGACAUAUUAUUAGUAACACUCGUGUGUUUAUAGACGACCUAGAUUGUAAUAAUAAAAAAGGAAAUAUAACAAAAAGCGUUGAGACUAUAAAUACUGAUAGCAGUAAUUGUUAUAAUACUAUUCAAGACACAUACUGCAAUGAUAAAACCGAUAGGGAGACCGAAGGUAACUACACUAACAUAUAUAAAAACAGCCAAACUAGUAAUAAUAGUUAUAAAAAGGAGCUUACAUGUGAAAAAAAAAAACAACCUGAAUUUAUUUAUAAUACACGAAGCUCUAAUAAUAAUAAUAACAAAUAUAAUGAUGUUACUAUUGUAAAUAAUUUGAAUAAAAAUUUAAAAAGUAUACAUGAUACAUACAAUUUGAAUAGAAAAGGAUACAAACCACAUGAUAAAAAAGGAAGUAAACAAAAUAAUAUUUCUAUUAUUAAUAACAGUAGUAGUAAUAGUAAUUCUAUUCCCCUUACUUCAAAUAAAAAUUUUAUACUUCGAACCGAAAAUAGUAUUAAUACAUAUGAUCUAACGUCAUCGUCUUCCAUA
rnacentral:lncRNA from 1 species